rnacentral:lncRNA from 1 species
UUUUCUUCUCUGUUAGCGCAUGGAAAAGUGAACUAUUCUGGAAGAAUAUUAUUAAGGAAUUUUUCAUUUUUGUUCACAUAGGGAAAAAUGAACUAUUCUAGAAAAUUAUUACUCAAGAACUUUUAUUCUUUGUUGGCCUAGGAAAGUUAUAUUACUAGCGAGUUUUUACUCUUUUUUGUCCUAGAGAAGUUUUUUCUCCUUGCUAAUAUAAGAAAAAGUAAAUUAUUCCAAAGGAAUAUUACUAGGAAACGUUUCCUUCUUGUUAGUAAGAGAAAAAAGGAACUAUUUGAAAGGAACAUUAUUUAGGAACUUUUCUUCCUUAUUGGAAAAAAUAAAAGUGAGUUAUUUCUGAGAAAUAUUAUUAAUGAGCUUUGCCUCUUUGUUGGCCUAGGGAAGUUAUAUUCACUACUAAAAAGGGCUAAAUAAUGACAUAAAUUUUAUGACUUAUCUCGUUAUGUCACGAAUCUAUCGUGAACGCGUGAUAAAAUGUGAGAUAUAUACAUAUGUCAUGAAUUCAUGAUAUAUUCGUGACUUAUGAGUUAAAAACAUCAACAUAUGACAUAUAUAAGUCAUGUUUGUGUUAUGUGGCUUUAUAUGGUUCUUAAAACCGUGCCAUUUAAAGUAAUUUUUUAUUAAAUGUUUAAAUUAUUUUUUUAAAAAGAUUAAAUCAACAAUGCCAUUUAUACUAAAUGACACAGGUUUAAAAAACCUAAAAGAUAUCAACACAAUAAAUUUAUUAAGUGUUGAAAAAAUCAACAAAUCCAUCUCUUUCUCACAUGAAUCCUUUUCUCUGUAACAGUAUAUAGAACCCUAAACCUGAGCCUCACAUCCACUAUUGACGAAGCCAAGCAAGUUCGCACUAUAUGAAAAUCAUCCACUCACUCACUUAAACAUUCACUUUGCCGUUUCAGGAACCCUCAUUGUUGCUCUCAUUCAAGCUUUCAUUUGACUAAAACAACCCUCCUUGAAACUCUUAAUUUGUAGAAGAAUAAUAACAAGAAGGAACCAUGAAUCCUAAACUCUCAUUCAAGUUGUUCGACUAAAGAAGAACAAGCAAAUUUCAAACUCUAGGUUUGAUUUGGUGCGUCUCUAUAUGAAACCUCAGCUGAAUUUAAUUCAUUUCUCUUUGAACCGUAAGUUCAAUUAAAACCCAAUCAUAGAGCUUAAUCCAAUCAAUUGAAAAAGAAGAAAAGGCAUAAGAAAAAUAUGAAACUGAAUAUGUUUGAAGCUCAUUUCUUUUUUCAAAUUUUACAAUUAGGAUCAAAGGUUGACCUUUUUUAAUCAGACCUCGUCAUAUCAUGGCCACCGAUAUUCACAUAUUAGAAUAAAGGUUAAAAAUAAAAACCUAAGGCCCAAAAUCGAAACCCACUGCCCGAGCUAGAUUCCUACCACCUCACCAACAAUUAGAGGUGGCAAAAAAAUCCACCCGGACCGUACCUGGGUGUUGUGGGCCGGGUAUUACUCGGCCCGGGUAUGAAGCCAGAUCGGUCUUGGGCAUCACUUGAUAAACCCGGAAUCCGGAUUUUAUUAAAAAAAUAUUAUAAAAUAUAUAUUAUUUUAAAUAUUUAUAUUUAUUUGA